rnacentral:misc_RNA from 1 species
AACCAUAGAAACCUGCGGAGUACCUGCGGAAGGAUCAUUACAGAGUUCAUGCCCUCACGGGUAGAUCUCCCACCCUUGAAUACUAUACCUUUGUUGCUUUGGCGGGCCGCUUUGGCUACUGGCUCUGGCUAGUAAGUGCCCGCCAAAGAACCCCAAAACUCUGAAUAUUAGUGUCGUCUGAGUACUAUAUAAUAGUUAAAACUUUCAGCAAUGGAUCU